rnacentral:lncRNA from 1 species
CGAGGGUGGAGACCAAAGUUUAUUGCACGGAAGGAAGCAAUGGUAAACCACUUCUAUAUUUUUACUCAGAAAACCCUAUGAAUACAUCACCGGAACAAUCGCAGAUGGAGAUGGGGCGUUGUGGGAGAGAUGUGUCCAUGGCAUCGCUAUGGGUCGGGGAUGACUCGACGACAUAAGACAAGCAUUUAAGGUAAUUGGCUAAUUCAGCAUUUUAAUGCCUGUGUUUGGUUACUGUCUAACGUUUGAUUGAACUGGUCAGAUUGUUAUGUGGAGGAACUGCACUGGUUUAUGAACUCACGGAGAAUUCGUCUCUUGGAAUCAAUUCCUCAUCACAACUGGAAUCUGCCUUAGUGAGUCAAAACAUCAAGUCAGCUGCACAAUCCUGAGAUUUCAGCCACCUUCAUCAGCAGUAACAGCCAAGGUUUGCAAACCUGUUCAAGUGCCAAGCACAACAAGGAUGUGCCUGGAUAGAAAUAUUCACAUCCUCCGAAGAAGAAAGAUAAAUAAUCUCUCGUCGCCUCUCUGCCUUUGAAUAGUCAGUCGCGUACGAUCCAGCCUGGCGGUUUUAGCUCUUCGAUUUGUUGCACUUGGGUUCAGUACGCACUAUAGGAAAUUAAACCUCUGGGUUAGGAUGUGUCCAUUCCAAUUUCUCUGAAUUUUUUGUUUCAUCCAGCGUGUUUUGCACUGGACAAAGGUCUAUUUGUUCUCGUUCAGGGGAUAAAGUCAUGGAAAGCUCAUUUUGCCUUCGGAUUAUAUUGCUUCCUCCUUUUUCAGUGCUUGUGCGAG